rnacentral:lncRNA from 1 species
AUCGUUGUUUCGAUCUCAUUAAUAAUAAAUUAUAUGUUUCUCGUCAUGUCGUGUUUUUUAAGCACAUUCCAUUUUUCUCUAUUUCUGGUAAUACUCAUAACGUGACUAGAACUGACCUCAUUAAUAUUGAUCCAUUCUCUGAUGAUAUAAACAAUUCACCUUUCCAUACCCCAUGUACUAUUGAUUCUUCAUGUCCUGCAGGUACACAUGCUUCAGAUCAUGCUACCCCUCUUCCUUCUAUGGCUUCCCAAGCACCGCCUGAGAUUAUUGAUCCAACUCCUGCUUCAUCUCUUCCUCGUUAUCCUCAACGUAUUCGUAAGUUCAGUCAGUUACCUAAUUUUGAUUAUUCUUGUUAUUCUGAGUCCUUUUGUUAUUUUCUAGCAUCCAUUCAUAAGUUAGUUGAACAAUCUUCCUAUAAAGAAGUUGGAUCCUCUUUUGCAACAAGCUAUGGCUGAUGAACUUUCUCUCUGCAUAAGAUAGACACUUGGGACUUUGUUGAAUUGCCUUCAGGUAAACAUGCUAUUAGUUGUCAUUGGGUUUAUAAGAUUAAAACCAAAUCUAACAAUUCGAUUGAAAGUUACAAGGCUUGAUUGGUUGCUAAAGGUUUUAAUCAACAAUAAGGUUUAGACUCUGAGGAGACUUUUGCUCAUGUUGCCAAGAAAAUCACUGUUCGUACACUUAUUGCAGUUGCAUCUGUUCGUCAAUGGAGUCUCUCUCAAUUGGAUGUCAAAAUGCCUUUUUAAAUGGAAAUAUUUAAGAGGAAGUUUAAAUGAUUCCUCCUCCUGGUCUUUCUCACUCUCCUGGAUUUGUUUGCAAACUCAAGAAGGCACUUUAUGGCCUCAAACAAGCACCUCGUGCCUAAUUUGAGAAAUUUCUCACUAUUGUUAGCUCUCUAGGUUUAACAUCUAGUCAUCAUGACUCCGCUUUAUUCUUUAGAUGAACUUCAGCUGUUGGCAUUCUAUUAUUGUUAUAUGCCGACGAUAUGAUUAUUACUGUGAUGAUGUUGAUGGAAUUGCAAGUUUGAAAUUAGAUUGGCUUGUCGUUUUGAAAUGAAGGACUUGGGUACACUGUCUCAUUUUUUGGGGAUCGAAGUUGCUUCUUCUCCUAAACGUUAUCUUAUCUCUCAGUCCAAGUAUGCUAUAGAUGUUAUUGAGCGUGCUCAUCUUAGUACUCCUCUUGAGUCUAAUGCUCGAUAUUCAUCCUCUGACAAUGUACACCAUUGACUAACCCACUUUGUAUCGCACUAUUGUUAGAUGUCUAGUUUAUCUUACUAUCACACGUCACGAUAUUGCUUAUGUUGUUCACAUUGUUAGUCAAUUUGUUUCAGCUCCUACUACAGUGCAUGGGGCAGCAGUUGUUCGUAUUUUACGUUAUCUUGGCGGUACAUGCUUUCAAAUUCUUUUGUUUCCAUCAACCUUAUCCUUAGUGCUCCAUGCCUACUCUGAUACUGAUUGGGCCAGCGACCCCAUUGAUUGCAAGUCCACCGCUGGUUUUUGUAUAUUUUUGGAUGAUUCUCUUAUCUCUUGGAAAAGUAAGAAGUAGACUGUUAUUUUCCGUUCCUCUAUAGAAACAGGGUGUCGAGCUAUGGCCUCCACUACCACUGAGAUUAUGUGGUUGCGAUGGUUACUUGCAAAUAUGGGUCUUUCUCAUUCUUCCCCAACUCCUAUGUAUUGUGAUAAUACUAGUGCUAUUCAGAUCUCUCACAACUCUGUGUUCCAUGAACGCACAAAGCAUAUUGAGAUUGAUUGUCAUCCGGUUCGUCAUCAUCUGCAGACUGGCACCAUUUCCCUACCUUUUGUUUCUUCAUCGUUACAACUUGCUGACUUCUUCACUAAGUCCAUCCGGUUCAUCGUUUUCACUUCUUACAUGACAGACUCUCGCUGUUUCUUGCUUUAGCAUCAUGAGUUUGAGGGGAGAUAAUAAUAUACAUGUUUAUAUUUAUUUUAUUUAGCAUAAUAUUUAAUUUCCUUUUUAGGUUUCCUUGUAGUAGUAUAAAAUCUAUAUUUAUUUUCAUUGUAAA